rnacentral:rRNA from 1 species
GACGAACGCUGGCGGCGUGCUUAACACAUGCAAGUCGAGCGGUAAGGCCCUUUCGGGGGUACACGAGCGGCGAACGGGUGAGUAACACGUGGGUGACCUGCCCUCAGCUCUGGGAUAAGCCUGGGAAACUGGGUCUAAUACUGGAUAUGACUCCACGGUGCAUGUCGUGGGGUGGAAAGCCUUGUGCGGCUGAGGAUGGGCCCGCGGCCUAUCAGCUUGUUGGUGGGGUGANGGCCUACCAAGGCGACGACGGGUAGCCGGCCUGAGAGGGCGACCGGCCACACUGGGGCUGAGAUACGGCCCAGACUCCUACGGGAGGCAGGCAGUGGGGAAUCCUGCGCAAUGGGCGAAAGCCUGACGCAGCGACGCCGCGUGAGGGAUGACGGCCU